rnacentral:rRNA from 1 species
UGGGGAAUUUUGGGCAAUGGGCGCAAGCCUGACCCAGCAACGCCGCGUGGAGGAAGAAGGCCUUCGGGUUGUAAACUCCUGUCCCUGGGGACGAAGGCAGUGACGGUACCUGGGGAGGAAGCCCCGGCUAACUCCGUGCCAGCAGCCGCGGUAAUACGGGGGGGGCGAGCGUUGUUCGGAAUUACUGGGCGUAAAGGGCSCGUAGGCGGCUUCGGAAGUCCUGGGUGAAAGCCCCCGGCUCAACCAGGGAAGGUCUCAGGAAACCACGGAGCUAGAGUGCUGGAGAGGGAAGCGGAAUUCCCGGUGGAGCGGUGAAAUGCGUAGAGAUCGGGAGGAACACCGGAGGCGAAGGCGGCUUCCUGGACAGACACUGACGCUGAGGCSCGAAAGCCAGGGGAGCCAACGGGAUUAGAUACCCCGGUAGUCCUGGCCCUAAACGAUGAACACUAGGUGUGGGGGGUAGGCAAUUCCCUCCGUGCCGGAGAUAACUUGUUAAGUGUUCCGCCUGGGGAGUCGGCCGCAAGGCUG